rnacentral:rRNA from 1 species
CACCGCCCGUCACAUCAUGAAAGCCGGUUGUACCCGAAGUCCACGAGCAAACCGCAAGGACGCAGUGGCCGAAGGUAUGGCUGGUGAUUGGGAUG